ensembl:lncRNA
CUGUGACAAAAGGGUACUCUAAACUAUCAGUACACAUGUUUAUCUAUUUUGGUGCGUAUAAGAUUUACCUAGUUAUUCAAUUUCAAAACCAAUGCCAAUAUUGUGCUUUUAUUCUUGGUACAACAAUGAAGAAGAAACUACUCGAGCACUUUCUGAAUGAAAGUUUAGCUAUAACAGUUAAUGCCGCCUGAACGCAUGUAAUGCUUUUGACUCCAUCCCAGCUCAUAUGAAGAGAAAUCAUUAAGGAGACUGGUCAGGAUGGAGGGAAGGUUGAAUGGAUCAGAAUGGAUACAGCGAAUACCUUAUCCAGAAUGCACAGGGCCUCAGACUGUGGCAAAGAUUCAUCCUUCAGACAACAACAACACAGCUAAGAUGAUACUGCAGUGGCUUUGGAACAAAACUGCAAAUGUCCUUGAGUGGCCCAGCCAAAGCCCAGACUUGAACCCACUUGAACGUUUGUGGGGAGACCUGAACAUGGCAGUUCACCCACACUUCCCAUCAAAUCUGAUUAAGCUUGAGAUGAUUCACAAGAAUGGGAGAAACUGUCCAAAUCCAUCUGUUGCAAAGCUGGUAAAGGCAUGCCCAAGAAAACCCCAAAACUGUGAUCCAAAGUACUGAAUAAAAGGGUCUGAAUACCUUUUAUUUUAAAGAAAUGGGCACACAUUUCUAAAAACUUGUUUUCACUUUGUCAUUAUAGGGUAUUAUGUGUAAAUUGAUGGAAAAAAGCAGUAGGAUACAGCACGCUAUGUUCCUUUCAUGUUUUUCAUUCAUGUCAUUGUAAUCCCUUUUUAAAUGUUAAGGCAGCACAGAGUCAAUUGGUGUGUGGGCAUUCACUAGGACAUGUAUAUACACUGUAUUUUGCUUUAUGGUCAGUUUUGCUGCAAGUCAGAUCUGCAUUCUGCUUACGUCAUCCUGUCGAGUGAUGUGAAGUUUUCUUACAGUUGGGACAACAAUGUCUUCAGACUGACAGUAUUUUGCUACCAAUCACAAAUCCGUGCACAAUACACAUCAAACCAACACGGCAUUGCUCUUUCUCCUUACUAGUAAAACACUAUCUUAACGAGUCAUGUUCCAUGAUCUUAUUGCUGAGAUAUUGAACAUCAUGAAUUGGCUUCCUGUCUUAAUUCACAAUUUACAAGGAGUGACGUGUCCUUUUGAAAAGAAAAAGAAACGUAAAUCUCCUUGAUGAAUGUACCAUCUGAAUCACACAUUCCCAUGACAACCAGGGCAGCUUGCCAUGCCAUUGAGAGGCUGUGAGGGGUGACAUAAAAGUAACUUUCUCACAGUAUAGAUCUCACCAAUGCAUCACUUCCUGCAGUUGGGCCUGAAACUCAUAGACAACUGUUUAAAUUAUAUUUUAUCCAAUUUCCUCUCAGCUUAUCUAUUUUUAUUUCGGUUCCCUAUGUCUUCAUCUCAUUCACUCUAGCUAAAAAUGUUUUUAGUAAGUAAUUUAGACAUCAUAAUUUAAUUCUUCUUAUUUUGGGAGUAAACCUACACAUAAAAUAACAAUUAUAUUGAGGUAGAAUCACUGAAGAUAGAGAUAUACAAGUCAGACCCUAGCCUUUUAGAGACCCCAGUCAAGAUUUGGCUGGGAGCCCCCCAACUCUCUGCGAAACAUUUU